UACUUAGGGUGCAAGCGUUAUCCGGAAUCACUGGGCGUAAAGCGUGCGUAGGUGGGAAUUUAAGUGUGAUGUUAAAUCGUGUGGCUCAACCAUAUCGAUGCAUCGCAUACUGGGUUCCUAGAGGACGGCAGAGGCAAGUGGAAUUAGCAGUGUAGCAGUGAAAUGCGUAGAUAUUGCUAGGAACACCAGUGGCGAAGGCAGCUUGCUGGGCCACUCCUGACACUGAGGUACGAAAGCGUGGGGAGCGAACAGG
rnacentral:rRNA from 1 species